rnacentral:tRNA from 1 species
GAGGUUGUGGCUCAGCAGUAGAGCGCUUGCCUGGCACGUGUGAGGCCCUGGGUUCGAUCCUCAGCACCACA